GUCUUCUAGUAUAAAUAUCGUCGAUCUGUACAAUACUAUCAAUUAUACAAUAAACAUUUCUACUCAAUCAUCUUCUUCUUCUAAUCUUCUUUCCUAAUAAUACUUAACAAUGUCACAGUCGGCCUACGAGUAUCCGAGGUUACCUCGUCCAGAAAUCAUCAGUGCCCUCAAGCUAGCUAAAAUCGCUAGCAUUACGGAAGGCGAGCUUGAAAACCCUACGCUCGAGUUCGUCUCCGAGAUUUACACCAAACUUCUUAUCCAUCUCGACGACGAAGAAAAGAAAGGGCAAGUCGAGUCUGAGGCAUUGCAGCAAUUGGAGAAUCCACAUAAUCAUGUCACCUCAGUGAAAUAGACGAAUCUAUAUUGCAAAGUGAAAAAGUUGCUAGUUUUGUUGGAUUGUCCAUUACAAAUGAAUUACAAGGAUCUUUUUACCAUCCCGAACCGAGUUUAUCAUCAGUUCACUUUUGAACUAUGCUCUACACAGAGAUUCAAAAAUGAAGCUUAUAAGCCAAAAGGCUCAGGAAUUUGACUCUCCUUGAUGAGCAGCGGAAGCAGUGGGAGGCAAAGAUUGCCAAGUUGAAUGCAAGAGAUUGAAGAAUUUGAUGAAUCCGUUGAAAGGGAUUUAGAAGAGAAGAAGUUACUACUUGGGGACACAAAGAAAGCUGAGCAAUGAGAAAUGGAAACUUUCCAGGAAAAGGCUGCCAAUUCUUAAGGUUUUUAGAGAAGGGGAAUGUUGGGUUGAUCUGCAUUAAGGGUGACUUGAAGGAAUCCAAUGAAGACGUUGUCAUAUACAAAGUUUGUUUCAUUAAUUGAUGUUCUAAUUGUUGUUCAGAUUAAUAAUAAUGCAAGUAUGAAUAUUGAUAAUUUGCUUUAUCCAAGUAUCCUAUUUGCUCGAGAGUCGAGACUAUUAAGUCGC